CACUAGGUGGGAGGAGGCUGAGAGUGUGGUGGGGCAGCCUGGGAGCUGGGGCAGUGCAGACAGACGAGCAACUGUUUCAUCACAGAUGCUUCUGUCCUUACCCAGCCCUUCUGCUCUGCAGGACAGGGAGGAAGUUCAGGUUGUGGGGAGCACUGGGCCUCCAGAAGCCUGUAGGGGGAGGACAGAGGACAGUGACGUCACAGUAUUCCCCUCCCAACAGGAAAAUCAAGGCCCAGAACUCACUUGGCUCUUCCCCAGAGGACCAAGUCCUGAAUCAGGUGCAGUGCUACCUGCCUCACUGUGCCAUGAACCCUGGGCUCCUAUGCUGGACACUGCUUUGUCUCCUGGGAGCAGUCCCAGUGCAGGCUGAAGUCACCCAAAGUCCCACACACCUGAUCAAAACAAGAGGACAGCAAGUGACUCUGAGAUGCUCUCCUAUCUCUGGGCACACCAGUGUGUCCUGGUACCAACAGGCCCCAGGUCAGGGGCCUCAGUUUAUCUUUGAAUAUGUUAAUGAGUUAAAGAGAUCAGAAGGAAACUUCCCUGCUCGAUUCUCAGGGUUCCAAUUCUCUGACUAUCACUCUGAGAUGAACAUAAGCACCUUGGAGCUGGGGGACUCAGCCCUGUAUCUCUGUGCCAGCAGCUUGGCACAGCCCUGCAGAGUCACUGCAACUCUGUGCACCAACCUCUCUGCUUCAGUAUAUGGCAAUCUCAGAUCUGACAGCUGUGAGAACCUGGGGCCUUCAGGGGCAAAGAAAAACAAUUUCAGGACUCUGAACAAGGCUGGGGAAAGCAAGGCCAGGAGGAUCUGCUCAGAGGAUGCUGCUGCUUCAGGAGGUUCAUGCAAAUUACCUUCUUUGCUGGAUGCUGUACACUACAGUCAUAGAGUAGCUGACACUCUCCUUUUUAGGAAAAGAAAUUCAUUUUGGUGUCAGGAUUGUUGGACAGAUGUGUAAUAUAGAAGGUAAAAUCUCAAGGGCUUGCUUUACAUAAUUAAGAGAAGAAAUUGAAAUUUGGGGAAAUUUGAGGAGACCAUGAUUAAAGAUUAUUUAAAAAUAGAGGUAGAGCUACCAGAUGAUAAAACAAUUGUGUUCGCUGCAACAUAACCUGUCAAA